AUGGAGAAGUUCUCAUCUUCUGUUGGAGAGUGUGAUUCUGAAGAGUCUCUGGAGGCCAUUCUAUUUGUGGAUGGCAUCAUGUCUGACUUGAAUGAUUUCACCAGUUCGUGUUCCCCCUCACCAUCUGAGUUGUUAGACAGUGAACAAUGUCUCUCCCAUCUCACUUUUCCACUUGGUCUGCAGGACAGCACCACCAACAGUGAAUCUACCCAGAGUCUUCCAGUUAUAAAUAUGAAGAAACUCUCCAGUGUGUCUUUCCAGACAAAGGCUAGAAAGGCAGUGAGCGAAGCUCUGAGAUCUGUCAACCCCUUUACAAACAGCUUACUGGGAGACUCUGAAGCAUCUAAAUUGCUGGACACUUUUGUAACAGAUGUGGAGACUAUUGUUCAGUCCAUGCAGGCACAUCACUCUGAAAAUGUCAGAAUUUCAAACGUGAGCACCCUUCAUGCUGCUCGUAUUAUAUAUCAUAGAUUUCGAGAAAUGCUGAGGCAUUUUCUCACUCCCUGCCAAGACUCUGUAAAGGUCAUCGAUGGUGUUACACCAAUACAUGAUGAGACUCUCAAACAGGCUCCUAGUGAAAGUUUAGAUUCUCAGGUGACUUGUAAUAGGGAUUCUCUUGAAAUCCAAGCGGACCUUCAAACCUGUACCAAGGAGGUCAUUAGUCAGAUCCUCACUGUGUAUCAAUCUGAGGAAUCCAUGGAGGAAUGCCUCUCUAGCCUAAAAGGAGAUACAGAAGACCUGUCCAAGCUUUUGGAUGCCGUUGUUUCUCAGAUUGACGUCCUUGCCGCCUCCAAAUCAUAUUUAUCUGUUGAUGACUAUGCUGUCAAUACACAGGACAAUUUGCAUGGUGAGAUCAACAAUGAUGAGGAGGAGGCAUACUCUAGAAGUCUUAAAUCCACAGCCUUUGACAAACUAUGUACUGAUGAGUUUCAAACGAAAGCCUCACAUAUGGCUGGUGGGAUCCUUCAAUCAGGGUUAAUUGGCAUUGUAAAUACCAGCCUUGAUGGUAGAAGUGCAGACAUUUGUGCAGAGUCCAGUAACGAUGGUGAUGAUAGAGAUGUCAAAAUCCUUCAGAAGAGUGGAACUCCACCUUUGUUCACCUCUUCUCUGCACACCAAUUCUGCAGCAUCCAACAUCGUCAUAAGCAUCACUAAAGACCUUAAUAGCUUCACCCAGAUCACUAAAAUGUCUGAUGCUUCAGUGUCUGGCCAGUUAGAGAGAUCCCUGUCAGCUUCAAACCUUCCUGUCAGUGUUCAGAACAGGGCCAAUGUGAAAGGAAAGAUCAUUUGGCCAGGCACUGUAAACCUGUUCAACAAUGUGUUCAUCAAGGUUUACAGUGCCUGGCCAAAUGAUCUUUCCUUUCACAUUGGCCCCGUUCUGAACACUGACAGGAAGGGUUGAAGCUGACAGGGAUCUCUCUAACUGGCCAGACACUGAAGCAUCAGACAUUUUAGUGAUCUGGGUGAAGCUAUUAAGGUCUUUAGUGAUGCUUAUGACGAUGUUGGAUGCUGCAGAAUUGGUGUGCAGAGAAGAGGUGAACAAAGGUGGAGUUCCACUCUUCUGAAGGAUUUUGUUAUCUCUAUCAUCACCAUCGUUACUGGACUCUGCACAAAUGUCUGCACUUCUACCAUCAAGGCUGGUAUUUACAAUGCCAAUUAACCCUGAUUGAAGGAUCCCACCAGCCAUAUGUGAGGCUUUCGUUUGAAACUCAUCAGUACAUAGUUUGUCAAAGGCUGUGGAUUUAAGACUUCUAGAGGAUGCCUCCUCCUCAUCAUUGUUGAUCUCACCAUGCAAAUUGUCCUGUGUAUUGACAGCAUAGUCAUCAACAGAUAAAUAUGAUUUGGAGGCGGCAAGGACGUCAAUCUGAGAAACAACGGCAUCCAAAAGCUUGGACAGGUCUUCUGUAUCUCCUUUUAGGCUAGAGAGGCAUUCCUCCAUGGAUUCCUCAGAGUGAUACACAGUGAGGAUCUGACUAAUGACCUCCUUGGUACAGGUUUGAAGGUCCGCUUGGAUUUCAAGAGAAUCCCUAUUACAAGUCACCUGAGAAUCUAAACUUUCACUAGGAGCCUGUUUGAGAGUCUCAUCAUGUAUUGGUGUAACACCAUCGAUGACCUUUACAGAGUCUUGGCAGGGAGUGAGAAAACGCCUCAGCAUUUCUCGAAAUCUAUGAUAUAUAAUACGAGCAGCAUGAAGGGUGCUCACUUUUGAAAUUCUGACAUUUUCAGAGUCAUGUGCCUGCAUGGACUGAACAAUAGUCUCCACAUCUGUUACAAAAGUGUCCAGCAAUGUAGAUGCUUCAGAGUCUCCCAGUAAGCUGUUUGUAAAGGGGUUGACAGAUCUCAGAGCUUCGCUCACUGCCUUUCUAGCCUUUGUCUGGAAAGACACACUGGAGAGUUUCUUCAUAUUUAUAACUGGAAGACUCAGGGUAGAUUCACUGUUGGUGGUGCUGUCCUGUAGACCAAGUGGAAAAGUGAGAUGGGAGAGACAUUGUUCACUGUCUAACAACUCAGAUGGUGAGGGGGAACACGAACUGGUGAAAUCAUUCAAGUCAGACAUGAUGCCAUCCACGAAUAGAAUGGCCUCCAGAGACUCUUCAGAAUCACACUCUCCAACAGAAGAUGAGAACUUCUCCAUCACCUCAGUCUUAUACAAGACAAGAACCUGGCUGGCAAUCGCUUUUGUGGUGUCAAGGAGGACUUGGUCUUGCAAAUACUUUUUGAGAGCCAAGAGAGGUUUUGGGGUCUCACUUUGUCCUUUUUGUUCAUUCAUAGAUGAGGGGGUUAUUAAAAGUGGUUUACAAGAAAUGGAGUCCGAUGUGUCAGCCUCACCAUUACUGGAAUGACCGAUGUCUAGGCACAAAGUUGGAACCAUUGUGAAAUAAUCUUUUGUGCUCUCCACAAAUGUACUUGCGAGAUAACCUUUUUCUGGACAGGUAAGAAUCCUCUUCAGCGUAUUUUUCAUGUCGUAGUAACAGCCAACAGUGUAAGACCAGAUCUUACUCUGAUGGUUUUCAAGAAGGAUCUGCUCACUCUGUGCAGGAGAGCAGGAUGCCCUGAUAGACUGGGUAAGAUUGUCCAUGUCUGAAACAAAGGUACUUACCAACUCAGAGGCCUCAGGGUCAAUCAUAAGGUCUCUGAUCUCACCUAUCUGAGGAGUUGGACUAGAUGAUAUAGUGCCAGAACAACAUAAUGUACAACCCCUGAAUCUUUUAACAAUCUCCCGGAUCGAUUCAGUGGCCUUGGUCUGAAACUCCUCAGUGAGUAGUCUAUCCAUACUUUGUGUUGACAGACGAAGACUAGAUUUGGCACCUUUGAUAUUGAGGUUGCUCUCUCCUUGUUUUAGCAUCUCCUCAGGACUUUUACAAGCUUCAAGCAUCUUCAUAUGGUCAGCAACAACACAAAGCAGUUCCCUCUUGUCGGGGUCAUAUUCUUCCUUAUUGCUGAAGUUCAAAACAGUGCCACUGAGGGCUGUCAUGACCUGUCCUGUUAAAUGUGUCAUGUCCACCUCAACACCAUCCUCUCUGAGAACAACAAUCUGCUCAACACUCUUCCCAUUAAUAUACAUCUGAAGUAUGUUGGAAACGCCAGACACCAUCUCCUCAACAACCUUGGUUCUGGAGACACCACCACUGGCAAAAAUAACAGGGGACAUUCGGCCAGAGAUGGGAGUUUGGAUGGCCACAGAGAUUAUGGAAUUGACCUUCUUUGACACUUCUCCAACAAUAACCCGGGAUAGACUUUGAGUGUCUACCUGGUCCUCUCUUUGGAUACAGAGGACAUUGUUCAGCGACUCUUUGAAGGAAUCCUGGACACCAGUGAGGAGACUGUCCUCAGUAAUCCCAAAAAAGUCCCUGAGUGGCUCAGAUGAUAUAGACUCACCAUCUCCCUGAGUAUUUGGCAACACUGUCUGAGACCUUUGAGAAUACAAAGCAAACAAUACAGCAUUCCAUAUUCAAUAGUAGACACGGUAGUGACAUUAAUACAUCAUUCAGUAAUCAGUUAAACUGGUCAUUAAGAGUAAACUGUUAUACAGAUAACAAAACAUAUUUUCACAAAAUGGGUUAUGAAUAGUUAGGUGAAACCGGUUUCUUUAGGAAUGACUGAACAUACCCAUUACGUGAGGAGCUUGAUUUGGCCGUGCAAGACCUUGAGGAUUUGCUGCUGCCUCUCUUGCGAACCUUCAGGUUUGUGCUAGAGGAUCUCUCUGAUUCUGUCAGAGACUUGCCGGAUACUGGAGACACAUGGCUGUAUAUCCGUACAAAACGGAAAAUUGCAGGGAUGAUGACCUCCAGGAUGGCCUCAGAUACAAACCGCACAAUCUCCAGGCACAUCUCUGCAAGCAAUGCCCUCAUCACCUGUAGGACCGAAACAGUGUGGGUAGAUUACUCAUAGCCGGGCUCUGAAACCAAGCUCCUCGAAGAGAUACCAACAAUCUCACAUAUGUUCAUGAGAAUCAUGAAAGUGGCAUACAUUGGAAAGCAUGAAAAGCAGUAGGCUACUAAAAAGCUCUUUGAAUGAAACUGUUUGUGAUAAUGUG
rnacentral:lncRNA from 1 species